rnacentral:tRNA from 1 species
AAAUCCGUCGACUUAAAAUCGUGAGGGUUCAAGUCCCUCUAUCCCC